AAGCCCCUUAGUCAUUUUGGCUUUUGACUCCAUUGUUGGAGAUGCCCUAAGAAGGGGGCAGUGGCCGACUAAAGGAGGGAGGAGGAGACGGGAAAAGGGAGAGGAGAAGAGAAGAAGAAGACAAAAAAGAAGAAGAAGAAGAAUCAGAGCCAGAGAGAGAGAGAUAGAGAGAGAGGAUGAGAAGAGAGUUUGGGUCUUUAUCAAAGGCUACGAAUUGGGUAGUUUGGUUUUGAGGGGAGAGAAGCUAGAGGGUUUAGAUUGAUUUUCAUAAGCAAACAUGAGCAUUUGAGAGUUUGGGUUUUCUGGUUUUGAUCAGAUUUGUAGAAAGGCAAAAGGGGAGAAAGUUUCGGAAGUGGAGGGCUUUGUUUUGGGUUGUUUACUGUCUAUGUUUGCCUUGCUUUACGGUCAUAUUAGAUUUCUAUUGAGAAGAGUUAGGGCUGAGUAUAGUCGAGAGCAAGAUUUCUUUAUCGUUUUCUUUUGUAAAACAAAACCAUAUUGAUUUGGAUUGUAAGUACUAUUUGGAGUACUUUUUGUGGUUUGGUCGGAAAUCUUGUUAUAGUAAAUUUCUUAUUUGCUUUGGUUUAAAUUUUGGGCCGGGUCUUUACACAAAGUAUGAUCUAAGAGCCUUUGUAACUUUAA